rnacentral:SRP_RNA from 1 species
GCUGGGCGCAGUGGCGCGGUGCCUGUAGUCCCAGCUACUCGGGAGGCUGAGGUGGGAGGAUCACUUGAGCCCAGGAGUUCUGGGCUGCAGUGCACUAUGCCGAUCGGGUGUCUGCACUAAGUUCGGCAUCAAUAUGGUGACCUCCUGGGAGCAGGGGACCACCAGGUUGCCUAAGGAGGGGUGAACCGGCCCAGGUUGGAAACGGAGCAGGUCAAAACUCCCGUGCUGAUCAGUAGUGGGAUCGCGCCUGUGAAUAGCCACUGCAAUCCAGCCUGGGCAACAUAGCAAGACCCCGUCUCU